GCAGUCGAGCGGUAGAGAGGUGCUUGCACCUCUUGAGAGCGGCGGACGGGUGAGUAAAGCCUAGGAAUCUGCCUGGUAGUGGGGGAUAACGCUCGGAAACGGACGCUAAUACCGCAUACGUCCUACGGGAGAAAGCAGGGGACCUUCGGGCCUUGCGCUAUCAGAUGAGCCUAGGUCGGAUUAGCUAGUUGGUGAGGUAAUGGCUCACCAAGGCGACGAUCCGUAACUGGUCUGAGAGGAUGAUCAGUCACACUGGAACUGAGACACGGUCCAGACUCCUACGGGAGGCAGCAGUGGGGAAUAUUGGACAAUGGGCGAAAGCCUGAUCCAGCCAUGCCGCGUGUGUGAAGAAGGUCUUCGGAUUGUAAAGCACUUUAAGUUGGGAGGAAGGGCAUUAACCUAAUACGUUAGUGUUUUGACGUUACCGACAGAAUAAGCACCGGCUAACUCUGUGCCAGCAGCCGCGGUAAUACAGAGGGUGCAAGCGUUAAUCGGAAUUACUGGGCGUAAAGCGCGCGUAGGUGGUUCGUUAAGUUGGAUGUGAAAUCCCCGGGCUCAACCUGGGAACUGCAUUCAAAACUGUCGAGCUAGAGUAUGGUAGAGGGUGGUGGAAUUUCCUGUGUAGCGGUGAAAUGCGUAGAUAUAGGA
rnacentral:rRNA from 1 species